rnacentral:rRNA from 1 species
CCUACGGGUGGCAGCUGUGGGGAAUAUUGGACAAUGGGCGAAAGCCUGAUCCAGCCAUGCCGCGUGUGUGAAGAAGGCCUUCGGGUUGUAAAGCACUUUCAGUGGGGAAGAAAGCCUUGGGGCUAAUACCCUCGAGGAAGGACAUCACCCACAGAAGAAGCACCGGCUAACUCCGUGCCAGCAGCCGCGGUAAUACGGAGGGUGCGAGCGUUAAUCGGAAUUACUGGGCGUAAAGCGCGCGUAGGCGGUCUGAUAAGCCGGUUGUGAAAGCCCCGGGCUCAACCUGGGAACGGCAUCCGGAACUGUCAGGCUAGAGUGCAGGAGAGGAAGGUAGAAUUCCCGGUGUAGCGGUGAAAUGCGUAGAGAUCGGGAGGAAUACCAGUGGCGAAGGCGGCCUUCUGGACUGACACUGACGCUGAGGUGCGAAAGCGUGGGUAGCAAACAGGAUUAGAUACCCCUGUAGUC